rnacentral:lncRNA from 10 species
AUGGAGUAAGGACUUUACUUUUUCACUGGACUUUACUUUUUCAGUUUCCAUGUAAUUUGGAUGUCAUUGUGAAGACGUCAAGAGUCAUGUCCACAAAGAUAAUACUGGUUAUUACUUGGUGACCACCUACUGUAAGCCAGGCCCUGAGCUGGACACUUUAUUUAUAUCUUAUUUAUUCCUCCUAAUGAUCCAGCAAGGUAGGCAUUAUUACACCUAUCUUGCAGAGGAGGAAGCUGAAGAGGUUAGGUAACUUUUCCCAAACAGAGAGCUAGUAAGUGGGUAAGCCAGGUCAUGAAUCCAAGUUAAUCUGCUAUCUUCCCUCUCAGUGCUGCCUUGAAGGACGAGGGGUAUCUGCUGCUCAGGCCUCAGGAAUGGACACAUAGGUAAUGCUUGGUAAUCUCAAGCCUGAAGUAAGAAUAAUUUAUUUAAGUUUGUCCCAAACUCCUGACUUCUCAUUGGAUGUCCUAGAAAUUAAACCCAAAGUGAGGUCUUCGCUAGCCAUGACCUUCAAAAAUCCUUGUCCAUUAGGCUCAGUCAUUUGUGAUGUCAGAACUGGAAACAAACUUAAAGUUCCUCUGGUCCAACAUAGCCCUUUUACAGAUGAUAAAGCUGAGACCCAGAGGCGGGAAAAAUAACUUGCCAACAGUAUCGGGGCUAUUUCCUGGCAAAACUAACAUAUUCCUUUGAUUCUCCAGGCUUCAGGCCCAUGAGGACCUCCUGGACUAAGAGCCAGUCUCACUGCCACCUGUCAGAGCCUUCUUCAAGGGAGUAAACAGAGGGGCAGGACUCACCUCACUUCGUGCUGCCAGGGCUAGAGCUAUCCUUUCUCCCCACUCCAUUCCCACCUUGCUGGGUGAGCCUGCAGUUUUUCCAAGGCAGGGCCAGCCUGUCCUGUGCUGCAAGAUGUAUUAAUCAAUUUGAUGGGGAUGUUAAAGCUUUCUCUUUGCAACUAAUUAUGGCCUGAUUUAUAGGCCUGGCCUUGGUUUGAUAGAGCUCUCCUCAUGACAGGGAUGAAUGUGGUACUGGCAUGGACCCCUUCAUCUCUUCCAUUUCUCUCUCUUCCUCCCUCCUCCCUCCCUCCCACGGCUCCUGCCUCCUGCCUCUGCUCUUGGUUCCCACAGGAACACCCUAAUGACAUGUUGACAAGCUAGUGAAGCAUGGCUCCCUCUCUGUUGCAUCUGCCUCUGGCACCACCAUUCCUCCUGUAUUCUCUGACAUGGGCAGAUGGGUGCUGUGCUGGAGGAAGCUCUGUACACCCUUUCCUUCUGGAAACAAGAAACAAUAAAAAUAUUUUGGGUUGAUGCAGCAUCUUCCUUCCCAAACAUUCCAAGAGCUUGUUGAAAUAAACUUUAUCCCUGAUGGAACUUCCAGGUAAGAUUUCAGCCACAUCCUGCUCCUCCCUCACAUGGAAACAGGCAGCACCUAGGCCAUCAUCUGCUCAGACUUUCCUUCAGAGGAAAAGAGAAACCACAAACAGCUGCCGUGUGGGCCCUCCUGCCAGAUUCCGGAUUCCAGCUCAGACCACGGAUCUCGAUGACUUCAUUGGUAUCUGAGCUGGAACUCUCUUCUCCAGGGACAGAGAGGCCGCCAGCAUCCCUGCAGAGCCCCCAGAAAAAGAGGAAGCUGCAUGGUGGGUUCACACCUGGGCCAGUACAAAAAGGUCAUGCUUGGAGAGAUACACCAAGAUCUCCACCUGAGGGCUGAGUCCUGGCCCAGGGCUUGCUUCACUAGUUGGCAGCCUGGGAACACUUGCUGUGAGCUCCAAAGCAUGUUGAAGAGCGGGGCUGUCCAUGUUGAAUCCUGUUAGUCAUGCAGCUGAGGGAAUUCCAAUCACCUGACCCGGGUCUGACCGCAGUUACCAGUCUCAAGUCUGAGCAGCGUCUCCAGUGCUGGGCUGCCUUCUUGACUCCAGGAGGCAUGCCUGCUCUUACAAUGAAACUCAAGUCUUUUUUUUUCCUUCCCACAAGUUUGGCUUCUACUUUUCUAAGUGCUGUUCAUCAUAUACUCUGUGUUGUAAGUACUCAGCUCUCUAGCAUCUCUUUAUACUACCUUUUAUUCUUCUGGAAUAUCCUUCCUUCCCACCCACAAGCAUAUUAGGCAAAACUUGCCCACCGUGGUAACUGGAAACAGGACUGAGGGGAAGGAAAACUCUCUCCCAGGUGCAUGGAGUGGGAACUCAUUUAGGGCAUCUUUAGUGCCAUACAUAGAACCUGGAAUACAAUAGGAGCUCAAUUAAUACAUGUUAAAUGGAUAAAUAUUGGUUAAAUGCAUCAUGUUUCUAUACAAUUCUCUUUAAACUAUAAACUCCCCAAGCACAAAGUUAAGAACUAUGUCUCUCUUAUCAGACAAGAUGCCUCCUAACCCAGAUUAUACAGGAGCAUUGUGAGGGCAAGCCCAUGCCAACUCCACAUUCUGUGAGCUCCCAAAACUCCACCAAGGACCUUGCUUAAUGAUGACUUAGACCAGGGUUUCUCGACCUCAGCAUUAUUG